AGGAUCACGAAGUGGCCGGUGUUCCAGCCUGUCCGAGGCCACCAACCAACUCCAUCCUCUUGAGUGAAUACCUCUCAAAAGCUGGAGCCAUUCUCUCCACCACGUGUUCCCUGGCAUCGUGGACUAUACCCUCAAAGCUGUGAGCCCAAGCAAACCCUUCCUUCCUUGAGUGUCUGCAUCAGGUUUCUCAUAGCAAUGAGCGAAGGCCCAGAAAGGAAGGUGUUGUGUAGAAAAGGAAAACAUCAUCUCUACUUUUCUCUCUCAAGAACUCAGCCUUCAACCCUGUGACUUCUGCUAUGGAAUAUCAGAAACAGUGACACCAGCAACACAUCAUCACAGAUUUCUUCAUCCCUGUAAUGGCUCGUGUUUAGUUGUCAACUUGACAGAAUCUAGAAUCAUUUGGAAGAUGGACUUUUGGGCAUACCUGUGUGAGAUUGCCUUGAUUACAUUGAUGUGGGAAACACUUCUUAAAUGUGGCCUGGGCCAUCCUGGGCAGGACAUCUUGGACUGUACAGAGAGUGAGCUGAGCAUGCAUUGCUCUCUGCUUAACUGUGGAUGCGCCAUGAUCAACCCUCUCAAACUCCUCUUGCCUUGGCAUCUCGAUCACAGCUGUCCUUUUACUGCAAGAUUAAAAAACCCUUUCUCCCUUAUGCUGUUUUUAUCAGAGCAACAGAAGAGAAACUCAGACAAAUACCUUUUGUAUCCAGGAGAGGCAAGACCUUUUUUAGUCUGUGUAGUGUUUACCUGGGCCCAGUCCUGAGCAGGGCAUGACGGAUAAAAAGCUAAGCCAUGACUCUGGUCUGGGACAAAUGAGAAGUUUUGUGGAGAAUGACCAAUGUAGAAUAACUGACUAUAGUGUUCUGCUUCAGUCAGGUGGACACAUGCGCACACUCCAUAUUCCUGUGUGACAUGAGGAGAGACACUUUAUGUCCAGAGUGCUGUCUCCACAUCUAACAGGGGGGAGGGAUCAUAACAGAUGAUCCUAUUUCAAAGGUUGCUGUGAGGACUAACUAGCACCUGGAUUAUCACAGUGCACAGCAGGCAGUAAGUGGUAAUUUUUUUAUCACUAUCAUUAAAUAUAAACAGAAGUUUCUUGAUGUGGGAGGACAGG